GUUUGCCUUGCCAUUGACCGCGUUAUCUUGUGAGGAAUGUAUAAAUUCCCUUCCAAGUCCGUUCUGUGUUUUUGUUUUAUUAUUUUCUGGUCUGUAUCGAUCUGAAGACUUAAGCUGUUUUAAACGGAUUUUAUAGUGUUUUUUUGUUUGUUGUACUGUAACAACUCUUUCCAAUGCUAUGGGGAGAAGUGGCGCCCGUAACCAUGCUUAACUCCACCAUAUUCCUUAUGUGCCUUUUCCGAGACAGUAGCCUGUAGUUCAGUUGUUGUCGUUGGUUUAAGUCUGUCAUAUUUGUUUUUCGUAAAAUGUUGUGUUAUGCAUACAUUAGAAAGCUACUUCAUUUGAACUUUGGUGGAUAGUUGUCUCAUACCACAUCUUCUUUUUAUAUAUACGGUAUGGGUUUUCUUAUGAUUGAAGGCUGUACGUUUGUCUUAAAUUGCUAACAUUUACUUUAUUUGAACUUUGGUGGAUAGUUGUCUCAUUGGCAUUCAUACUAGAUCAACCUUUUCUAUAUAAGAUAUCAACACUUAAAAAUACUUCGUCAAAUGAAACAGGAACAUUAUAUUUAAUAAACUAAAGCUAUAGAAAUAGGUAUCAAAUCAGUUCUAUAAAGCAAUCAAAAUCAACUUGGUAUUUUUUUUAAUAUAGCAUGUAAGAAAUUAAAUGAAUGUUUUUUUUAGUAUUUUGUUUCAUAUGAUCUCAACCACUGAAAUUAUUUUGGUCACAUUCUUGGAAAAAAUAAACAGUAUUGUUGUGACGACAAUUUGGACAUAUCUGUCUUCAUCUGUAAAACAGAUAUAUUCCUGAAGAGUCAACCAACUCACGCUUGCUAUGUAAAAUUUACGAAAGGAAAAUUUCAACUUCACCGCUACUCUACAUCUACAUCUAUACUAUUUGAAUAUUUGGUUUAAGAACUUCAUUGUGGGCCGUUACCCCUUUUUAAGGAAAGCAUUUUAUAAAAUACAAUCCUUUCUUAUCAAUGGUUUGAGUAUUCUUUGCUUAUUAUUACUAUUGAGAUACUAAACCUAUUAACAUAUGCAUUCUUUCUCCCCUAGAAUGGUGGUUGACUGUAACAGAUCGAAUAUUUGCGGGAAAUGAGAUUCUAUUCAAAUUAACAGCCAUACAUUUAUCUAAAAGAUUAUAGUCAUAUGUAUUCUUACUCCCAUGUCCCGGUUGAAUUCAUUGCUAUAUAAUUCUUCCGAGACUACCUGUUCGACAUCGAAACUACAUGAUGCAUUGCUGUAGCAUAAAAUGUCCCGAGAAUUUUACACUUUUGCCAAAGGUUAAGUAUAUAUUGAUUGAUAUAUCAGCGUUUAAAUCAUGUUGACUAAAUGCAUUGUACACAAUACUCCUUUUUCUGAAUCAAUCAUCAAUACCCCUGUAAUAGCCAUAGAGGUUCCACUUUGUAAAUACAGCUGUUUCUCAAACCACGCCUCUUUUUGGGAGAUCUAGAAUAUUCAUAGAAAAUUAAUUUUGUUUACAUACUGGUUCCCAGUUCUGAUCUGUAUGUUGUAUCUCAUAGAGACAUACCUUAGGAAUGUUAUCAGUAAAUAUACAUGUGCAUAUUGUUUAUAUUGAAAUAUGUGAUAGCCCUUCAUUUGGGGUAGGGGUAGUUAAGAAAAUUAGUUUUAGUUAAAAUUUGAGAAGUUCAGGGCGCAAAAAUGUUGAAAAUAUGCCGCACAGCCCUAUAUUUUGACCUUUGAAAAAAUUGUAGUGGAUAUGAAAUUCUAGGAUAAGAUUUUUUUCAAAACUUCAUAAAGUGUACAGUUUUAGCCGAAAAGGAGUUCCUAUGGGACAUUGCAUUGUCAAUAUUUACAGAAACCUAUUAUUGGGUGUAAAAAGAGAACAUUCAGAAUGUAACCAAAUUUGAUUUAUCUCACAGAUUUACUAUUAACUUAAAUAUGAAGUUUUAUAAAUAUGUCAUGAAGAUUGAUAGAAUCCUCGGCCUUAAAUAUGAUGACUCAGCAUAAAUUUACAGUACAGUAUGCAUAGUUUACUCAAAAGUCCUGAAUUCAAAAUUAAAUCAAAAUAUUUGCAUAUAUGUAAGUUAAAUUGUGGAGAAGUGCUUAUAUUUACUCUUCGCAGUCAUUGAAACUCAUAGAUCCUUCCUGAAUAUUAUUUAUGGGGUCUUUGUGUCCUGUCGAUAACCCAAAAGUAGGCCGUAACACCUAAAUCUGCUUUUUGUCACCACAGCAUAAAAAAUACCAGCUAGAAAUACAAAAAUAUGUCAACAAAAAUUACAAUAGUGUGUUCUAUCCUGAAUACGUACUAAAUAUUCCAAAUUGCUAGAAACAGCAGAAUAAUUUAGGAAAUUUGAGGCCCCAGGGGGACAAAAAACAUAGAAAAUUGCCUACCCCCUGAGGUCAUAAAACAAAUAAUUUAACCUGUAAAUGCUAUGAUUUUAUGAUUUUAAAGUUCCUGAUAUAGAAAACCAUAACCAUGCUUGGAAGUUAUGCAAAAAUCAGAUGUUAGCGGUAUCUCUAUAACAUUUUAAGUGAAUUUACCUCAGACUGGUAUCUGCAUACAUACAACUAUUGCAAAUAUGGCUUUGUUUGGACACUUCUAGUAUAUAUAUUAGCUAAUUUGUGUCAGAUAUAUGGUUACAGAUGAUACUGUUGUGACAAGAUUCUAAAUUGACCAUUAGAGGCAGAAAAUGUGAACUUUAAUUGACAAAUAGGCAUAUAGUAAGAUGUGGACUGGAAACAGAGUCAGGAUUGGAUAUUUUAUAUUCUCUUGAGAGUUGUAAUGAUUGACUGCUAAACAUUACAUUUAUAGUAUUCUGAUAUGCUUUCAAUAUGUUAUCAAAACAGUUUUAAACAGGUUCUAAGCAUUCUUAUUAGAAAAUAUGCAAAUAGAGCAAGCUGGCCAAUUCUUUAAAAAAUUGAAACAAGGGAGGGGUUUAAAUAUGUACAGUAAAGAAAAACGUAGAGUAUACACAGUGAUUUCUAUAAGGCUAUUAUUCUGAUAAAUGAGUAUUAAUGUGAGAAAAAACUGAUUUUAGAGAUUUUUCUAUUUGAAUAAAUGUUUGUAUAGGUUGCACUUCGUAAAUACAGCUGUUUCUCAAACCACGACUUUUUGGGGGAGAUCUAGAAUAGUCAUAGAAAAUUAGUUUUGUUUACAUACUGGUUCCCAGUUAUGAUCUGUAUGUUGCAUCGCAUAGAGACAUAACUUGGGAAUGUUACCAGUAAAUAUAAAUGUGCAUAUUGUUUAUAUUGAAAUACGUGGUAACCCUUCAUUCGAGGUAGGGAUAGUUAAGAAAUUUUUUGAAUUUUGUUUAGUGCAUAUGAACUUUCAAUUCUAGGAUAUGAUUUUUUUCAAAACUUCAUAGUAAAAGUGGUACAGUUUCAGCCGUAAAAGGUUUUCCUAUGGGAAAUUGCAUUGUCAAUAUUUACAGAAAUGCA
rnacentral:lncRNA from 1 species